rnacentral:rRNA from 1 species
AUUGAACGCUGGCGGCAUGCCUAACACAUGCAAGUCGAACGGUAGCAGGCCUUCGGGCGCUGACGAGUGGCGGACGGGUGAGUAAUACAUAGGAAUCUGCCUUUUAGUGGGGGAUAACCCGGAGAAUCCGGGCUAAUACCGCAUACGCACUACGGUGGAAAGCAGGGGAUCGUAAGACCUUGCGCUAAUAGAUGAGCCUAUGUCGGAUUAGCUUGUUGGUAGGGUAAUGGCCUACCAAGGCGACGAUCCGUAGCUGGUCUGAGAGGACGACCAGCCACACUGGGACUGAGACACGGCCCAGACUCCUACGGGAGGCAGCAGUGGGGAAUAUUGGACAAUGGGGGCAACCCUGAUCCAGCAAUGCCGCGUGUGUGAAGAAGGCCUC